rnacentral:rRNA from 1 species
AUUGAACGCUGGCGGCAGGCCUAACACAUGCAAGUCGAGCGAGCGGCGGACGGGUGAGAAAUGUCUGGGAAACCGCCUGGAGGAGGGGGAUAACAACUGGAACCGGUAGCUAAUACCGCAUCCCAUCAGCUGUGCCCAGAUGGGAUGAGCUGGUAGGUGGGGUAACGGCGCACCUAGGCGACGAUCCCUAGCCGGUCUGAGAGGAUGACCAGCCACACUGGAACUGAGACACGGCCCAGACUCCUACGGGAGGCAGCAGUGGGGAAUAUUGGACAAUGGGCGCAGGCCUGAUGCAGCCAUGCCGCGUGUGUGAAGAAGGCCUUCGGGUUGUAAAGCACUUUCAGCGGGGAGGCGUUACCCGCAGAAGAAGCACCGGCUAACUCCGUGCCAGCAGCCGCGGUAAUUC